AUUGAACACUGGCGGCAGGCCUAACACAUGCAAGUCGAGCGGGGUUUUCGGACCUAGCGGCGGACGGGUGAGUAAUGCGUAGGAAGCUGCCCGAUAGAGGGGGAUACCAGUUGGAAACGACUGUUAAUACCGCAUAAUGUCUACGGACCAAAGUGUGGGACCUUCGGGCCACAUGCUAUCGGAUGCGCCUACGUGGGAUU
rnacentral:rRNA from 1 species